UCGGCCAUGACUCAUUGGUAGAGUGCAGAUUUUCAUAAUCUGAUGUAAUGGGUUCGAUUCCCAUUGGCAAAG